rnacentral:rRNA from 1 species
GACGAACGCUGGCGGCGUGCCUAACACAUGCAAGUCGAGCGAGUGGAGUUCUUCGGAACAAAGCUAGCGGCGGACGGGUGAGUAACACGUGGGCAACCUGCCUCAUAGAGGGGAAUAGCCUUCCGAAAGGGAGAUUAAUACCGCAUAAGAUUGUAGCUUCGCAUGAAGUAGCAAUUAAAGGAGCAAUCCGCUAUGAGAUGGGCCCGCGGCGCAUUAGCUAGUUGGUGAGGUAACGGCUCACCAAGGCGACGAUGCGUAGCCGACCUGAGAGGGUGAUCGGCCACAUUGGGACUGAGACACGGCCCAG